GACAGCUCCCGAGAACGGAAGAGGCGGCGCGCCGGUUGAGCAGGGCGUCUCUAGGCCUGGUCGGCUGGCGGCGAUGGCAGGAUUUUCAUAAUAUAUGUAGUAUGAGUUCCACAUCUUGGCCUCUUACCCAGCUGCAGCAGUCUCAGCUCCACCAGUUAGAGAAUAAAUGGGAUUUGCAUGAACUCCACUCUGAGCUGAAAUACAGACUGCGGUGUUAAUAUCCUUUUCUUCUGAUUGUUAUUAACAGGUCCUUAUGUCGUCAGAAGAUCGAGAAGCUCAGGAGGAUGAAUUGCUGGCCCUGGCAAGUAUUUACGAUGGAGAUGAAUUUAGAAAAGCAGAGUCUGUCCAAGGUGGAGAAACCAGGAUCUAUUUGGAUUUGCCACAGAAUUUCAAGAUAUUUGUGAGCGGUCAAAGAGUUAGUGGAAGCAGAGUUAUUUGCCCGUUAUGACCGCCUUCUCCUCCAGUCCUCCUUGGACCUGAUGGCAGAUGUGGUGUACUGCCCCCGGCCGUGCUGCCAGCUGCCUGUGAUGCAGGAACCUGGCUGCACCAUGGGUAUCUGCUC
rnacentral:sRNA from 1 species